GCAAUAAUAGCUUAAAUUUAGAGCAUUGGUCUUGUAAGCCAAAGGUGAAAAAGAUUUCUUAUUGCU
rnacentral:tRNA from 1 species